AGAAAUCCAUUAAGUAAAUUAGUCCUGUAGUUCAGUCUACUGGUAGUAGAAUUGUGAAAACAACAGAAGCUAACUUAAAAUCUUUUUAAUUACCCUGGAUUAAGAUCCUUGAGCUUUCACACAGGAUUUCCCCAUCACCAUGGCAUACUAACUUUAGUCUAAGUGCUCAAAGUAGCAUGUAUCACAAUAUUCUCUCCAAAAAAAAAUAUUCUCUCUUUAAAAACAAUAUUCUCUCUUUAAACAAUAUUCUCUCUUAAAAAAAAAAAAAAAAGCAAGUUUGAAAGAAAUAUGUGGGUUCUCAGCUACCAACUGUUUGAUAGUGGAAAUGGUAUUCAACAUAGAGACGUGUGAAAUUUUAAGACUGAAAUGCAGGACAAGGGCAAUCUGCCUCUCCUGGCAAGAGUGGUUUGAUGAAAGACCAAGACACCCUUAUACACUGAUACUUAGUGGAUUUGACUGCAGUAGGACUUAGGAC